rnacentral:rRNA from 1 species
GAAUAUUGGACAAUGGGGGGAACCCUGAUCCAGCCAUGCCGCGUGUGUGAAGAAGGCCUUUUGGUUGUAAAGCACUUUAAGCGAGGAGGAGGAGCUCUUGGUUAAUACCCAAGAUGCUUGGACGUUACUCGCAGAAUAAGCACCGGCUAACUCUGUGCCAGCAGCGGCGGUAAUACAGAGGGUGCAAGCGUUACUCGGGUUUACUGGGCGUAAGGCGGGCUUAGGUGGCAAAUUAAUCCAAAUGUGAAAUCCCGGAGUUUAACUGGGGAAUGGAAUCGAUACUGGUUGGCUAGAGUAUGGGAGAGGAUGGUAGAAUUCCAGGUGUAGCGGUGAAAUGCGUAGAGAUCUGGAGGAAUACCGAUGGCGAAGGCAGCCAUCUGGCCUAAUACUGACACUGAGGUGCGAAAGCAUGGGGAGCAAACA